UACGAAGGGGGCUAGCGUUGUUCGGAAUUACUGGGCGUAAAGCGCGCGCAGGCGGCUCGAUAAGUUGGGGGUGAAAUCCCCGGGCUCAACCCGGGAAUGGCCUUCAAGACUGUCGAGCUAGAGGACGAGAGAGGUGAGUGGAAUUCCCAGUGUAGAUGUGAAAUUCGUAGAUAUUGGGAAGAACACCGGUGGCGAAGGCGGCUCACUGGCUCGUUUCUGACGCUGAGGCGCGAAAGCGUGGGGAGCAAACAGG
rnacentral:rRNA from 1 species